UACGGGGGGGGCAAGCGUUGUUCGGAAUUACUGGGCGUAAAGGGCUCGUAGGUGGCCAACUAAGUCAGACGUGAAAUCCCUCGGCUUAACCGGGGAACUGCGUCUGAUACUGGAUGGCUUGAGAUUGGGAGAGGGACGCGGAAUUCCAGGUGUAGCGGUGAAAUGCGUAGAUAUCUGGAGGAACACCGGUGGCGAAGGCGGCAUCCUGGACCAACACUGACGCUGAGGAGCGAAAGCCAGGGGAGCAAACGGG
rnacentral:rRNA from 1 species